GACGUAGGGCGCGAGCGUUGUCCGGAUUUAUUGGGCGUAAAGAGCUCGUAGGCGGCUUGUCGCGUCGUUUCGUGAAAACCUGCAGCUCAACUGCAGGCUUGCGGUCGAUACGGGCAGGCUGGAGUUCGGUAGGGGAGACUGGAAUUCCUGGUGUAGCGGUGAAAUGCGUAGAUAUCUGGAGGAACACCGGUGGCGAAGGCGGCGA
rnacentral:rRNA from 1 species